rnacentral:rRNA from 1 species
UACGUAGGGGCCGAGCGUUGUCCGGAGUUAUUGGGCGUAAAGCGCGCACAGGCGGCCUCGCGCGCCCGACGUGAAAGCCCCCGGCUUAACCGGGGAGGGUCGUUGGGGACGGCGGGGCUUGAGGGCGGGAGAGGUCGGUGGAAUUCCCGGUGUAGUGGUGAAAUGCGUAGAUAUUGGGAGGAACACCAGUGGCGAAGGCGGCUACCUGGACCGGUUCUGACGCUGAGGCGCGAAAGCGUGGGUAGCAAACAGG